ACCUCUCCUUCUUUGUAGUUGAGAAAUCACUGAAGCAGAUUCCAUUACCAGCAUUCACUCAUCGCUCUUCAAACAAUGAGCCCCCUAGAGUGAGCUUCACAUGGACAUCGUCAUAACUCGAGCAGUGUGCAUCAUGGCCGUCACGAGAAGAAAUAUGGAGGCAAUGCCUUGAGGCUUCCCAGUCCCCAUUGUGAGGACUGCCAGUUCUGUUUGGGCUCAUUGUUCUCGUCUAAUCAGCCAUGGCAAAUGUGGAGCCCUCCAUCUCAUUACGUAUUCGCACUCAGAAGUGACCAUGGGAAGUUUUCGGAGGCCCAGCCCCGACAUGGGCUGAUGAAUUACCUGCCUAGACGACACCUAGUGAAUCCGUGCAGUUGCCGUGGCAGUGUUUUCUGAUGGGACCGUCGACCCAUCGCUCAUCCCGGUGGUCAAACAAGCGCCCCCUCCUUCCCCUGCUCCAGCCAGCUUGAGUUUCACUAUUGCCGUCUCGUCUUUCAGCACCUCUGCCCCACUUCCACACACUCUAUGCUCUGUUUACAAACUUCUGCUAACGAUGGCCGCCCUGAUGAGCUUAUACAAGGCCUGUUGGCAGUAGUGUCCGACAUUUAUCCUUCAUGCACCAAGAUCGAAUGUGAUAUCAAACACUAAAGGAUUCAAUAUUCCUUAAACUUUAUUAACAGAUAAAAGUUAAUCUUGCGGAAAAGCUAAUCUACUGGCUUAUCUACAGCAGUGGUUGGGACUUUAAAAUGGGUCACAGGUGUGUUGUGAUGGCAGACAGAAAGGGAAAACAAUAAUAUUUGCUAAAUGCAAAUAAUAAAAUACAUCUAACUACGUAAUUAUGUGUGGUUAAGUUAAAUAAUAAUAAUAAUAAUUAUAAGAGAAAUUACUUUCCUUAUCUUUUGUUGUUGAUGCAAAUUUGUGAGGUUAUUUUGUCAGUAAUGGAUCAAUGGCAUACAACAAUGUCCACGAAAAAGAAAACAUUUUAAAAAUCUAGUUUAAAAUGCAUGUGCCAUGUUCUUUCAAAUGUACUUGUAUUCAUUUUGGUUUCAUGCCAUUCUAUUUUAACCAAAUGUAUACUAUUUGCAAGAAAACAUUACAUUCUAAUGACUCUAAAAAUGUCAUGUAGUGCAGCCAUCAAAUAAAAAGUAAUAACAUUUUCUUAACAUCUUGAAUACACACAGUGUACAGAUAUAAGUUAUUAUUUUCAAAAUGUUUUUAAUUAUAUUUUUCAAGUUAAAAAGUAAGAGAUUCAUGAACGGAUUAUUUCUAUUAUAUAACUUCAUGAUUAAUGUUGUUGUUGUUGUUUCUGCAUGUUGGUUGUUGGUUCAAUUAUUUUCUAAGAAAUUAUAAUAAACAAUUAUGCCAAACUACUUAAUGAGGUAUUUCAAUAAUAUGUUUUUAUUUUAUUUUAUUUUAUUUUAUUUAAAAUUUACAGUACUUUUAGGUAAGUCAUUAUAUGUAUGAAUUGCAUGUUUAAUUUAUUUUUUAUUUAUAGAUAGGACAAACACAUUUAGUCAUGUCAUAGACCCCAAUGCCAGCAUAAAAAUACAACCCAUACUAAAUUAAAAAUAGGGUUAAAAUCAGGAUAAAUAUAUGGUUUGUGCUGACCACAAUUUGUUGUGUAGAGGAUGAUAUGAGGAUGAUAUGCUGCAAUCUGUAUGAUGAAAUUUAAAUUCUUGUGACAUUUACAAUGUCAGACAAAAAAAAAAAAAUUCUAAAAUGUGUACCUUUAGGGGAAGAGCUUGUCACUGGAGAAGAACCCUUAAAAGGGCAACUUUGUACCUUAUUUACCACAAAAACGUGCAUAUUAGUUCCUUAGAGUAGUGAUAUGUACUCUGAAAAUACUACUAUGAACCUUAUAGGAGUAGAUAAGGUACAAAGUUGUGCUUAUAAAGGUACCGGGACAAGGGACAAGCUGUUGUACCCCUUUUUCUGAGAAUGUAGAAAUCAACAGUUUACUUUUGCACGAUAAACAAUGUUGGAACUGUGGCUUUUGAAGCAAAACCAUUUGAGAACCACCUAUUUAAUGCACCAGCUUUAGAAAAUCACCUGUAUGUUUGUGGCUCUAGAGGUUGUACACAAGUGGGGCAAGUUCUGUGGCCCUUGGGACCUUAUUUUAGUGAGCAGUAGGGGGCGGCGGCUGCCAGUUGUACGGGUUAACGUGACAAUAAUUUGAGUUGACUCACCCAUCCCGUUCUCUAAUCCCCUGGAUAUACUGCACUCAUACAGGUGUCCACACAAUCCAAUUAUCACCGCCAUGCUUGAGUAGAAAAAAGAGAGAGAGAAAAAAAGAGGAGGGAAAAAUCAAGUUAAACAUCUACUGUUAUUCAACUUUGUCAAGUAUAAAUGUGCAGUAGUAUUACUGUAGAGGCGUGUCUACAGUUGUUUUGAAAUAUAUUAUUGUAUUUACAUGUUUGCCGUAAUUUAUGAAUGGCUAGUCUGGUAUUCAGGCAGCUAGCAGGUUUUUCUUAUCUGUGCUUUGAGUAAACCAACUUUCCUUUGAAUACCACGCUUGUGGCACACUUUUGUGUACAGGUGAAACUGAUACCAACUUCCCUUUCGUUUUAUUGCCUCAUUUACAUUACCGAUAUGUGACACUCAACAAAACACCACAACAAUGCAGGGAGCCACAAUCGCAGGUGCAUUCAUAAAAUCCAUGAUGUGAGCCAAGGAAAAUCUCAUCCACCCAUCUCACGACUCAUGACCUGUAGAGCACAUCUGAAAGCGACAGUGUCCCCCCCCAUCAUUUUGGUAACUUAAAUAAUGGCAGCAGGCUGAUUUUCAAGCAUGUAAUGUGCUUUCUUUCUCCUCCUGCUGUUGUUGAAGGAGGGGGCAUGUGUUUCCUUUCCUGUAGGAUCCCACUGUUGCCCCCCAUAGGGACA
rnacentral:lncRNA from 1 species